rnacentral:sRNA from 4 species
GUUCGGUGGAAACGAGAAUAAAACGUGAAGGAUAACGUUGCGUCAGCAACGGCCCGUAGGGCGAGGCGAAGCCGAGUCAUCCUGCACAACCCACCA